GCCUGUGUGCAGAGUGAUAUGCAAACUGGCACCAGGGUGUGUGUGAGCAUGGCCUUCCCAAUUUCCCACACACACGUUUGGGUUGUUUCCAGUCUCCUGUGCCCAGCAGGGCUGUGUGUGGCUGUGGAGCUGCAGAUGGAGGCUUCCAGGCCCCGAUCUUCAGGUCUAUUGGAAAACAGUCCCAGAAAGUCAGAUAGAGAAACUGUUUUUCUUUGGCAACCGCAGACUUGUACAUAGAGGGGCUGCACAGAGAUCCCUAUCCCUGAGGGAUCCAGGUACCAUGUGAAUGCACAACGGUGCUUGGGCUCUGGCUCAGGUCUUCCUUUUGCCACUUAUUAGUGACCCCAAGCAUGCUGCUUUAUGUUGUGUGCCUCAGUUUCCUCAUUAGUAAAAGGGCAUAUAACAUUAUCUAACUCCUGGUGUUUGCUGAGAAUUGACCAGGGGAGAGUACCUGAGGACAGCUCUACUGUCUCCGGGGUGCAGCCAUGAGCUUUUGGUGUAUAUGAAUUCCAGUCUGAUUUGCACGUCUGUUUCUGGACAGUGGACAUGCAGAAUCCAGUUUUCCAGUUUGGGCCCCACCACUGUGACACUGCAGUGUAAAAUGGGAACAAGGAGCAACUGAUGAAGAAAAGAACUGGAUUACCACGAAUGCUGUUAGGAAUCUUUGCCGAUCUGCAUCCAGAGCCAGGUUUAAACCACAGGCAGGGUUGUAACCAUGGCUUUGAAUGCUGGUCUCUGUCCGGCGGCGUGCUCUCAGGUGACAGCCUCGCCUCCCUGCUUCUUUCCUACCAUCAUCCAUGGCCCGAGACACGGCCAGAGAGCAAGCAAACAGGUGCCCGUCAGGGACAGGGAGUCGUCUGGAUCAGGAGGGUGAGGAAACCAAGAAAAUCUUCACCUCUAGAAGGAGGCCUGGGAACCAGACUGAGUGUGAGCGAGCUGCUUUGAACCACAGAAGAGACCUGAGAGAAUCAAUCAGUUCCUCUGGGUCUCUGUGGGACAAGUCCAGAGCCUCAGCUCCUCUCUGCGAUGUCCCAGCCAGGUCUGAUCCCGAGAUGCCCCCACCCCUGACUGCCCACGCGGUCUCCUUUGCUCCCUACCCUCUGUGAGGGGACCUGAGCUCAUUGUACCACUGGUGGGCUUUGUCUCCUGUCUGCUCUCCAUGCACAGGCUGUGCUUCCUGAGGCUGGGGCUGCAGAGGCAUGGAGUGGAGGGUCUGGGGUCUGGUUGGAACCCGGGGU
rnacentral:lncRNA from 1 species